rnacentral:rRNA from 1 species
GCAGCCGCCACGGUAAUACGUAGGUGGCAAGCGUUGUCCGGAAUUAUUGGGCGUAAAGCGCGCGCAGGUGGUUUAAUAAGUCUGAUGUGAAAGCCCACGGCUCAACCGUGGGGGGUCAUUGGAAACUGUUAAACUUGAGUGCAGGAGAGAAAAGUGGAAUUCCUAGUGUAGCGGUGAAAUGCGUAGAGAUUAGGAGGAACACCAGUGGCGAAGGCGGCUUUUUGGCCUGUAGCUGACACUGAGGCGCGAAAGCGUGGGGAGCGAACAGGAUUAGAUACCCCUGUAGUCCCUGUCUCUUAUAC